rnacentral:tRNA from 1 species
GCCGGGGUGGCCGAGUGUUGAGGCGGUGGAUUGUAGCUCCGCCGACGGAGGUUUAAUCCCUCCCCCCGUCA